GAGUUUGAUCCUGGCUCAGAUUGAACGCUGGCGGCGUGCUUAACACAUGCAAGUCGAGCGGUAACAGGUGUAGCAAUACAUGCUGACGAGCGGCGAACGGGUGAGUAAUGCUUCGGAAUCUGCCCAGUAGUGGGGAAUAACCAGUCGAAAGGUUGGCUAAUACCGCAUACGAACUACGGUUGAAAGCGGGGGAUCGCAAGACCUCGCGCUAUUGGAUGAGCCGAAGUCGGAUUAGCUAGUUGGUAGGGUAACGGCCUACCAAGGCGACAAUCCGUAGCUGGUCUGAGAGGACGACCAGCCACACUGGGACUGAGACACGGCCCAGACUCCUACGGGAGGCAGCAGUGGGGAAUAUUGGACAAUGGGGGCAACCCUGAUCCAGCGACGCCGCGUGUGUGAAGAAGGCCUGCGGGUUGUAAAGCACUUUUAGUGGGGAUGAAAAGCGCGAGGCUAACACCGUCGCGUCUUGACCUAACCCAAAGAAAAAGCACCGGCUAACUCUGUGCCAGCAGCCGCCGU
rnacentral:rRNA from 1 species